UACGGGGGGGGGCAAGCGUUGUUCGGAAUUACUGGGCGUAAAGGGCUCGUAGGCGGCCAACUAAGUCAGACGUGAAAUCCCUCGGCUUAACCGGGGAACUGCGUCUGAUACUGGAUGGCUUGAGGUUGGGAGAGGGAUGCGGAAUUCCAGGUGUAGCGGUGAAAUGCGUAGAUAUCUGGAGGAACACCGGUGGCGAAGGCGGCAUCCUGGACCAAUUCUGACGCUGAGGAGCGAAAGCCAGGGG
rnacentral:rRNA from 1 species